GAGCGCUCGCCGGCCGCCGUUCGCAGCCGUCAGUGCCUUGCCGACGUUCGAUACACACACACCGACGCGCUUCAAUCACAUACUUCCGCAACAACACUAAACUGAUACGGCCCAAUAGUCCUCCAGAUAAGUUCAUAGACGGUGUCAAUGGCGGCCAACAAAACGUGUAAAGAUUGGUGCACACCAUGUGAUUUGCUGACGGUAGCGCGUCGGACGCGGCCCAAGAUUAUGCAAUAUUUUCAUAAACGCACCGCCCCAUCCGGCACUGGCUGAUUGCCGGCAGAUAGCAUAACGAGGUGCAUUCGCGGGCAGCUCGCCAACGCAUCAGCUGUGCACGUGUCCACGGGCAUUAAUUAUAAGUUACCUUUUUUAUAACACAUUGCAUUUUGUAUCUUAAUACUGAGUCAUUUAGACUGAUAAUUGCACUCCAUAUCUGAAAUAUUUUCUUAGAUUUACAUGGACUUUUUAAAUAAUAUUUGUAUAAACCUCAAAAGGGAUACGAAAAAUGAUAGCUUAAAUUAUACUGGAAUGAGUUUUCACUGUCUAAGCACUUGUAUUUAUACAAGCAUGCAUCCCUUUUCUAGAUCUUUAAAAGACGGAGAGAACGUCGUUUCAACUGAAAUUUAACAAAACAUUCGUAUGGGAAAAACACUUAAGAAAAACUCAAAACAAUAAUUAAUCGUUUAUUUUUUUACUAAUUAUAAAUAGGUACUUAACCACACUUAAAGAAUGAUGUCCAUUAUGUUCAAAAUUACAAUCUGUACAAUGUAACUACAACUAAAAAUGCUCUCUUAUUUAUUACAAAAAUAUAUUUGUGUUUUUCAUACAGUUAUACGGGAUUCUUGCACCGUUGCGUUUAUCGGGUCUAUAGUCUGAAUAUUUAGAUUGGUAAAAUUAUUUAUGGUGCAGCCCUUUACACACAGACUUUAAGGGAGCCCCUAAUUGAACAGUAACAACUGAGUGGGGCAGUAAGCAGUUUCAAUGUAAAUUUCUAAUUAUUUUAUAUCACUAAU